rnacentral:rRNA from 1 species
CGAGAGGGCCGCUACCACGCGAGUGGAUGCCAAUCCCCAAAACCUCUCUCAGUUCGGACUGGAGUCUGCAACCCGACUCCACGAAGCUGGAUUCGCUAGUAAUCGCGCAUCAGCCACGGCGCGGUGAAUACGUUCCCGGGCCUUGUACACACCGCCCGUCAAGCCAUGGGAGCCGGGGGUACCUGAAGUGCGUAACCGCGAGGAGCGCCCUAGGGUAAAACUGGUGACUGGGGCUAAGUCGUAACAAGGUACC